GACGAACGCUGGCGGCGUGCCUAAUACAUGCCAGUCGAACGCAGUGGGGACGGGUGAGUAACACGUGGGUAACCUCCCAUCAGAGGGGAUAACACUUUGAAACAGGUGCUAAACCGCUGCUGAUGGAUGGACCCGCGGUGCAUUAGCUAGUUGGUGGGGUAACGGCUCACCAAGGCCACGAUGCAUAGCGGACAUGAGAGGGGGAGCGGCCACACUGGGACUGAGACACGGCCCAGACUCUUACGGGAGGCAGCAGUAGGGAAUCUUCGGAAAGGGAAGAAAGUCUGACCGAGCAACGCCGCGGGAGUGAAGAAGGUUUUCGGAUCGUAAAACUCUGUUGUUAGAGAAGCGGUAUCUAACCAGAAAGCCACGGCUAACUACGUGCCAGCAGCCGCGGUAAUAC
rnacentral:rRNA from 1 species